GAAAGAGUGAGAGAAAAGGAAGUAGUCAGUGCUGUCGGCACUUACCAAAGGUUUCCCGUUAUACCGUUAUAGGUAACUCAUUUGUCGAAUCAAACUUGGAUUUUUACAAAUAAAUAAACAAAUAUGGAACAAUAUGUCCACUGGAACUUUUAUUUAUUAAAUGCAAGAUAUGUCCAAACAAAAUAUGCAUGGAGUUUAGGAAACCAAGCAAUACAAAAGUAGAGCUGAAUAACAAUACAAUAAUUUAAGGCAUAUAAAAUGAUGGUCAGCUGCAAAUAUGAAU